rnacentral:lncRNA from 1 species
GGCUAAUGGACGAGCACGGGCGCUGGGCGGGCGGCAGCACCGUGGCCGUGCAGGUGAGGCAGGCCGCGUGCGGGUCACGUGCCUUAGGUGACCCUCCACGAUCACAGUAUGCACACGCUGUGGGUCAGGGACAGACGACGGCGUAUCGGGCACAGGCCUAGCUUGGGUAGUCGCAUUCUUCCAGAUUACUUCACCUGCAACAGUUGCUGGCACGUACCGGUACGCGCUUCAGGUGGGUGACAUCCUGGACCGCGGCGACCACGAGAUUCGCAUCCUCAUCCUGUUGGAGCGACUGGCGGCCGAGGCGGCGGCGGCCGGCGGGCGGCUGUACCUGCUCAACGGCAACCACGAGACCAUGAACGUCAUGGGCGACCACCGAUACGCCACGCCAGGUGAGGCAGGGCCGACAGGCAGGACUGCGCGUGUCUCCACGGCACGCAUCCGCGUAGGUGGACGCCAAACAUGGGUUUCGAGAGGCCGGCUUACACUAAACGAACAUAGGUGUCUCCAUGCAUAGUCAUGAUUCGCACCUGGAGCCCUGGUGUGCAACAGCAAGGGUGCCCCCCAACAACCCCUGCUGCUGCAGGCGCCAACCUGGAGUUCCUGGGCUUCAGCACGUGGCGCGACUUCUGUGCGCUCAUGAAGCGCCGCAGCGGCUGCAACGGCGCCGGAGCGCCAGACCCCUUGCAGGUACCGCUUUACGCUCAU